CACCAGCGCCACGAGUGGCCAUCGCGAUUAUUGGGCCUAAAGCGUUCGUAGUCGGUUAAGUGCAUCCUCUGUGAAAUUGCAGCGCCUAACGUUGCAGCAUGCGGAGGACACGACUUAACUUGAGACCGGGAGGCGUCGAGGGUAUUCCAAGGGGACCGGUAAAAUGGUAUAAUCCUUGGAGGACCACCUGUGGCGAAGGCGCUCGACGAGAACGGAUCUGACGAUGAGGAACGAAAGCCAGGGGAGCAAACCG
rnacentral:rRNA from 1 species